ensembl:lncRNA
UAGGCAUAUUGUUGUAACCUUUUGUUCCCGUUUGAUAGGACACAAACCCCAGGAAUGGGGGGAAAACAACAGGAGGAGUUAUUUACUCCUGAUUCCAAUGCACCACGCAGUUUGAUUCAUUGAUGUUUGAAAAACUGGCUUUAGUGAGGGCAAAUGGGGGGAAGAAGGGGGGGGGGGAUCUGCAGUGUGGCAAUUACGUGGAUUCUAGAAGAGAAAGAGAGCAAAAAAAAAAAAAAAGUUCGAAAGGAACAAAUGGUUUCCCCAACUCUUUGUUUGGAAGAGGAAGCUAAGCGAGUAGGUGCAAAGAUAAACAUUUCAGAGGAGGAAACAGAAGGGGAUUCUGCCCGCUGCGGAGCUGGUGAUGUAGAUGUUGGAGCAGAAGGAAGCUGAAAGGAAACAGAGGGGCAUUGUGCCCGGAAUGCGGGGAAUCGGCAGCACGCAGCGCAGCGCUGGCGCAGCUCAAACCCGGACAUUAAAACCUACACGUGGGCUUUGAAAAUGCGGAGCGGGAGCGGCUAGCUGCCAUUGAGGCAGGGUCAAAGGACGUGCUUUGAAACAGAUCUCAGCUUCAAGGCUGAAAAAGGGGUUAUGUGAAAAAUCGGGGAACUUGCAGAGAUCUAAUGAAGAGUUGCCUCAGGCAAGAGAAGGAACUACUUAUUUAAAUCCAAAGAGCCUGGAUUUACAACAAGACCAAGUUGAGUUACAGCAGCGAUGUGAGACUGGAAAUAAGGCUUGCACCGAAAAGGUGAAAAUGAGCUGUAAUCGGGAAAUAAGGGGCGACUGGAAGUUGUUAUAAGGGAACUGAAUGUCGAAAAACUGUUUGGAAUAACACAUCUUUAGAAACGGUUGGAAAUACUUGCUGGCACCACCGUUAGGCGAUGCACUUGGCGGUCCCGGGGGGAUUAUCUACCGCAAUUAUCAGACGGAAGAGCUCCGUUAGGUGCAAUUAAAAACAAGAGCACAAAGCGGGAGCUCCGAUGGUGCCAGGAGGGUGCAGUGUUGCGGCUGCCCGGCAGGGGGCGCUGUGAGCACGGAGCGGAGCGGGAGCGCGGGGGCUGCGGGGCCGGCAGGCGCUGUACAACAGCCAAACCCAGAGCUGAGUAUGUGGCUGAGGGAGGAGAGACUGCAGAAGCGUUUUAGAUGCUUCAUCAGAAGCAGACAGUUGAGAUGCCAAAGCAGCUUUCUCUGGCCUUUGUCCUGCCCUGUGUUUGAGAUGACUGCAGUGAGUCUGGGUGCUGGAGAUCGAGAAGCACGUUUGUUUUGAAGCUAAACCAAAUGGAAACGAGUCCUCUCCCCAGAUUAUGUGGGGGCUGACUGCAACAACCUGUAAAAUCACCCAUCAUGCAGACACUCCUUGUUGCAGGCCAUUGCUUUACCUCCAUCAGAAGACUGGUUCUUGCUGGACAGUGGUUGCUGUGACAGCUAAAUUUUAUCCUAUGAUGAGACAAGAAUCUGGAGGCAACACAUCAUUGCUAGGCAGCUCUUCCUAAGAACUGCAAAUGGAAAAGCGCUUUGAACGAUGCUUAGAUGCUUCCAUGCUGUUGGCCACGUGUUUGAUGGCAACCUGUACAGCCUAUGGAGCACUGAUAUAAUUCAUUGAGAAGUCCAUAAUUUCAGUUCAGAAAACCAUAGAUGUUGCCAUAAAACACGACAGCAGCGCAUGUGUUUUGUUUACAGCUUUUCUGUCUAGCCAUUACACAUCGUUCAGACAGACAAUGCUGCUGAAGUGUGAAGUAAUUGAGAGCUGUGCAGGGUGAGUUAUAUCAGCUAAGCUCGAGGCCAGCAGCAUCUGUCACAAGAUCUGGCAACAAGUCAGUCACAUCCCAUGGCUGUGCGAUGGAUCCCAGCAUGGUGAUCACUGAUCCUUUCCCAAUCAUCAGGCUUCUUGCCUUUCUCUAGAGGAGAGCGUGUGGCUCUCAGGAUGCUACCUGCUGUGGCCAGAUAGGUUUCCAAGGGACACCAGCCAGAUGGGUAAGUCAAACUCGUCCUGUCAUACUUUAAAAAAUAGCCUGAUGAAAUGCCUGCCCACCCAGCUAGGAGCGGUGAGAGUCCCUCCCAGGUCAGGAUGCUGAUCUGGUUGAAACCUAAGAACUACCCUCCCAUCUCCUCCAGUUAAUAAAGAUGUGGACAAUGGUGCAACUGCACUUUCUCUGGGAGUCAGAAGGACAUAAAUUCUUUGUGGCAAAGGACACUGACUGUGCAGAUGCAGGAGUCACCUCCCACAUCCCACACACGGGGUUUCUACCCCUUUUGAGAGAGUUUAACCAAAACUAUUCUGUUGCUCUAACAACACACCCUCCAUCAAUCUGCCAGUUUCACUUGUCCGGUGCAGCUAUUCCCAGAGCACAGACCUCAAGGCACUGCUGUACCCACCAGCCUGUGUUUGCAGCUGCCUGUCAGACAGUGAUUCCUAACGUGGUAGUAAAAUUAUUAACAUUUAACAUUUGAGAGGUCUGGAUGACGAGUUUAACCCAGUGAAAAGAACGUUCCUUUCAGCUGAAAGCUAACAGUCCGCAGCUGUUCCCAGCUCCCCACUUCUGAGCUAAGAUAAUACAGGGCAUCUCAUCCCCAGUGGACUCCACCAAGAGCCCUCUCUCCAUUUCUUCAUGUUAUUUGCCACUUGAUUCCUUCUUGCAACAGCAGUAGUUGAAACAAUUGUUUUUCCUCACAUAUUUGUUUGGUGGAUUUUGGUUUUGUUUUGUUUGUCUGUUUGUUUGUUUCUGAAACCAUAUACAGGUUGGGUAUCUGCAACCACCUGACAGGCAGCAGCAGAGCAGAGGAGAGGAUGCUCUCUGAGCAUUCUGGCACCAGGAUACUAGUUAUUAAAAGAUUCAGUCUGGCCAGCCCUGGAUUGCACUUGUGUUACUACAUACUUGCACACCCCACAUCUCCAACACUAACAUUACGAGGUGAUCUGUAUUUGUCUGGAAAGAUUGGGAAUGGGUGCUGUAAGGUAUCUUUACAUUGCAGCUGUAAGGAACAUAUUCUGGACAGUUCCAGCACUUCAAAAAUCAUUAGAGUGUAUUAAAUCUGUAGCUGUGAAAUCCCUUUCUAGAUGGAAAACUGAAGUCUACAAGAUUUAUUUAUUUUAAAGACAGUGCUGAUGUAUUUAACAAUAUAUUGAAUACAGAAUGCUUUCUGUAAGCCACAGAUGGCUUCAAACAAUAGCUCAGACAACAGCUCCAAGAUCCGUCCAGUGAACCUCACUGGUUCAACUCAGAAACUUAAAGAUGGUUAUUCAAGUUACAGUAUUGUUAGCUACUUCUAUGUUAGUGUCUCUUUUGCAGAUUUUUUUUUACUACUAGAACACAAUUAGCUCUAAUGUCUUUCACUGAUCAUUAAAUUUAUCUUAUCGCUAGCCUCAAGUUUGUAUGUCCCCAUUACUGACUGGAACCACAAACAUCUGUUGUGUAUUUAAAACAAGAGUGUAGUCUGAAUUAACUGUAUCAUAAAUCAGAACAAGUCUGACUUGUAUUAAUCCUCUGCAGAUGUGUUUUGUUUGUAAUGCUCAUCUCCUUUUAAGAAUCCGUUUGUGAAUUCUGUGGCAGCAGGACCAACUCAGUCAUUUGUGUAAUCCAUGCCUCCAUAAAACACAACAAGGGUAAGAAAUCUGGGUAUUAAAGUGAAGAUUUCAGUGCAUACAUCUAAAAAUAUUUUUCUCCUAAAUAAGUACAUAACUCAGCAAAAUAUCAGGAUGCUACUACAACAUGCACUGUAUGAAUACCUACUGGGUAAGAGUUAUUCCAGAGCUUAAAACUGAGCUGCUGUUUGAUAGUAAAAGCACAGAAGAGAGCUGUCUGCCUGUGGUGUUUGGCAGGAGACCUCGAAGUUUGUUGGAUACCAGUUCCUUUAGCACAGGUUUUGAAGGACAUAUCUGCCUACCAGCUGGGCUGUAUGGUCAAUAUUACUCCUCAUUUUUUAAUUAAUCAAUAAAAUAUUUUUUUUCUUUUUCUUUUUCUUUUUUUUCCCGACAAAUGAUGGUAUGGCUAGGAAAUUCAGCACUUUUACCAGGACACCUUCCGUUCAUCAUCACUUACCUUGCUUUGCUUUGAUCUCUCUCCCCAACCCUCGCAAUCAUAUUCUCUGGAUCUGCUAAAGCAACAUUGGCCAGCUUGAAAUCUUUUCCUGUAAACACACUGCCUUUGCAAUAAGGUGUGAAGCACUGUCCAAAUACAAAGAACACGUGGACUGUUUGAAUAAGUAGCUGGGGCUUUGGCAGAGCUUUUGGAAGCCGUGAGCACUGAAGGUGCUGAGUGUCUCACUUUGUUCUAUUUCAGUUACAUCUUGUGGAUAGGCAAGACUGCAGGAUGAGGUGAGAUCUGACCUACCACACUUGCUGGGACUGCACUUAAAUCACACAGCAGAAAUAAAGCUACUCAAGGGGUACUUUUAGGGGGUUCAACCC